UGGAACAAGUGAUGAAACCUUAGCUUGAACUCUCUCACUGAACAGAGAUGAAAUUCUAAGGUCUGAGAUGUUCCC
rnacentral:snoRNA from 12 species